UAAGGAAUAUUGGUCAAUGGACGAAAGUCUGAACCAGCCAUGCCGCGUGAGGGAUGAAGGUCCUCUGGAUUGUAAACCUCUUUUAUCUGUGAAUAAACGUCCUUUUUCUAAGGGAUUUGAAGGUAAUAGAUGAAUAAGCACCGGCUAACUCCGUGCCAGCAGCCGCGGUAAUACGGAGGGUGCAAGCGUUAUCCGGAUUUACUGGGUUUAAAGGGUGCGUAGGUGGGUUGGGAAGUCAGUGGUGAAAUACUUUCGCUUAACGAAGGAACUGCCAUUGAUACUAUCAAUCUUGAAUGUAGUGGAGGUAGGCGGAAUGCGUCAUGUAGCGGUGAAAUGCUUAGAUAUGACGCAGAACACCAAUUGCGAAGGCAGCUUGCUACACUACUAUUGACACUGAGGCACGAAAGCGUGGGGAUCAAACAGGAUUAGAUACCCCUGUAGUCC
rnacentral:rRNA from 1 species